rnacentral:rRNA from 1 species
UACGUAGGGUGCGAGCGUUAAUCGGAAUUACUGGGCGUAAAGCGUGCGCAGGCGGUUUUGUAAGACAGGCGUGAAAUCCCCGGGCUCAACCUGGGAAUGGGCGCUUGUGACUGCAAAGCUGGAGUGCGGCAGAGGGGGAUGGAAUUCCGCGUGUAGCAGUGAAAUGCGUAGAUAUGCGGAGGAACACCGAUGGCGAAGGCAAUCCCCGUGGGCCUGCACUGACGCUCAUGCACGAAAGCGUGGGGAGCAAACAGGAUAGAA